rnacentral:lncRNA from 1 species
UAGUUGUGUGAAUCACUAGGCAUCACGGACACUGGCACGAGAUACGAUACACGAUACGACUCGAACUCGGCGACUCGGCAGCUUUCAAAAAUUAAGACACGGACACAACAUGGACACCGCUAAUAAAAUAUAAUAUUAUUAAUAUAAUAAUAUAUAUUUAUUAUAUAUAAAAUAUUAAUUUUGAUAAAAUAUUGUUAUAUUUCUCAUACAAAUGAAAAGUUAGUAAAAUCUUUAUUAAUAAUUCAUAUAUUUUAAGAAAAAAAUUCUACAUCAUACAUAAUUUAUUUAUAUUGUCAAAAAAAUUUAUAUGCAUUCGUUAAAAAUUCGUCAAAAAGCUAAAAUAUUUAUCAUCUUAUAUUUAUAAUGCAUAAAAAAAGUAAAAUAAAAAUAUAAUAUUACUAUGGAUUAGCAUGAAACGUGCGUUUAAAUAGUGUCCAUAUCGGACACGUGUCUGACACGGACACGCAAGUGUCCCACACAAACACGCGAGGCUGAUAGAAGUGUCCGUGAUACAUAUAUAGGUGAGUCAUGCAAAGACUUUCUAGAAUGACUUUUAUAGAAAUAUCGCUGGUAAAUUACACCAUCGGUUAUAUUGUGUGAGUUUCACUUUGAUUUAUAAAUUUUAAAGGAUCGUUCAUUAAU